AAAAAAGGUAAGCUACUAAGAGCGAAUGGUGGAUGCCUUGACUGGUAAAGGCGAUGAAGGACGUACUAGACUGCGAUAAGCUACGGGGAGCUGUCAAGAAGCUUUGAUCCGUAGAUUUCCGAAUGGGGCAACCCAAUGUAUAGAGAUAUACAUUACCUAUAUAGGAGCGAACGAGGGGAAUUGAAACAUCUUAGUACCCUCAGGAAAAGAAAUCAAUAGAGAUUGCGUCAGUAGCGGCGAGCGAAAGCGCAAGAGGGCAAACCCAGUGCUUGCACUGGGGGUUGUAGGACUGCAAUGUGCAAGAGGUGAGUUUAGCAGAACAUUCUGGAAAGUAUAGCCAUAGAGGGUGAUAGUCCCGUAUGCGAAAAACAAACCUUAGCUAGCAGUAUCCUGAGUAGGGCGGGACACGAGAAAUCCUGUCUGAAGCUGGGUCGACCACGAUCCAACCCUAAAUACUAAUACCAGAUCGAUAGUGCACAAGUACCGUGAGGGAAAGGUGAAAAGAACUGAGGUGAUCAGAGUGAAAUAGAACCUGAAACCAUUUGCUUACAAUCAUUCAGAGCCCUAUGUAGCAAUACAGGGUGAUGGACUGCCUUUUGCAUAAUGAGCCUGCGAGUUGUGGUGUCUGGCAAGGUUAAGCAAACGCGAAGCCGUAGCGAAAGCGAGUCUGAAUAGGGCGCUUAGUCAGAUGCUGCAGACCCGAAACGAAGUGAUCUAUCCAUGAGCAAGUUGAAGCUAGUGUAAGAACUAGUGGAGGACUGAACCCAUAGGCGUUGAAAAGCCCCGGGAUGACUUGUGGAUAGGGGUGAAAGGCCAAUCAAACUUCGUGAUAGCUGGUUCUCUCCGAAAUAUAUUUAGGUAUAGCGUUGUGUCGUAAUAUAAGGGGGUAGAGCACUGAAUGGGCUAGGGCAUACACCAAUGUACCAAACCCUAUCAAACUCCGAAUACCUUAUAUGUAAUCACAGCAGUCAGGCGGCGAGUGAUAAAAUCCGUCGUCAAGAGGGAAACAACCCAGACUACCAGCUAAGGUCCCUAAAUCUUACUUAAGUGGAAAACGAUGUGAAGUUACUUAAACAACCAGGAGGUUGGCUUAGAAGCAGCCAUCCUUUAAAGAAAGCGUAAUAGCUCACUGGUCUAGUGAUUUUGCGCGGAAAAUAUAACGGGGCUAAAGUAAGUACCGAAGCUGUAGACUUGCGCACAACUUAGAUUAUUUAAGUUUAGAAUAUGAGAAACUAAGUUAUAUGUUUAGUUAUAUUUUUACUGAUUUUUAUAGAGUAAAGAUAGAAAUAAAACUUAGUAAAAUCAGUAAAAAUAUUCUUAGACUAAAGUUAAGUAGUUUAAGUUGUGUGCAAGUGGUAGGAGAGCGUUCUAUUUGCGUCGAAGGUAUACCGGUAAGGAGUGCUGGAGCGAAUAGAAGUGAGCAUGCAGGCAUGAGUAGCGAUAAUUAAUGUGAGAAUCAUUAACGCCGUAAACCCAAGGUUUCCUACGCGAUGCUCGUCAUCGUAGGGUUAGUCGGGUCCUAAGCCGAGUCCGAAAGGGGUAGGCGAUGGCAAAUUGGUUAAUAUUCCAAUACCAACAUUAGUGUGCGAUGGAAGGACGCUUAGGGCUAAGGGGGCUAGCGGAUGGAAGUGCUAGUCUAAGGUCGUAGGAGGUUAUACAGGCAAAUCCGUAUAACAAUACUCCGAGAACUGAAAGGCUUUUUGAAGUCUUCGGAUGGAUAGAAGAACCCCUGAUGCCGUCGAGCCAAGAAAAGUUUCUAAGUUUAGCUAAUGUUGCCCGUACCGUAAACCGACACAGGUGGGUGGGAUGAGUAUUCUAAGGCGCGUGGAAGAACUCUCUUUAAGGAACUCUGCAAAAUAGCACCGUA
rnacentral:rRNA from 1 species